rnacentral:other from 1 species
GAGCCUCUGCGGUGUUCGAGACGAGCCUUGUGCGUUGACCCGACAAUUCCGUUUAUGGAUGCCACACGGGUUUGGCCGCGUGUAUAUCCGUGAGUUCCCGCGGGAAAUCGACGGCUCACACAACCCAAACCCUCGGCAACCCCCUGAACUCUAUGGGUUCAGAACCUCAACGCUCGAACGGCACAGGCGGAGGCUUC